rnacentral:rRNA from 1 species
AACGUAGGUACCGAGCGUUAUCCGGAUUUACUGGGCGUAAAGCGCGUUCAGGCGGUUUGACAAGUCGGGCAUGAAAUCUCUCGGCUCAACCGGGAGAGGUUGUCCGAUACUGUCAGACUUGAGGGCAGUAGAGGGUGGUGGAAUUCCGGGUGUAGUGGUGAAAUGCGUAGAGAUCCGGAGGAACACCAGUGGCGAAAGCGGCCACCUGGAUCGAUACUGACGCUGAGGUGCGAAAGCGUGGGGAGCAAACAGG